AUUUAUUCUGUUUACAGAUGCCACUUAGUUACACUGUUUUUUUUUUUUCAGUCUCAUCUGGGUUGGAUCCAAAGACAUUCAGAGGCAUGGUGAGAGGCAAAGCAUCAGACAUCUCAUUGGUGGCAGGUACUUCCUGACUACUGUACCACCUGCCGUAUCCUUCCCCACCUCAUCACCCCCAAAGCCAUUUACUGCCAAAUGCUACAGUAAAAACCCAAUGCAUUUACAUAAAAUAAUGCCUAACUGCAUAUUUACAUUUUUUAGAAAAAAAAUCCCAUUUAAGCUCUUCUAGGAAGUUAUGGCAGGAAAGGUAAGGACCAAGGCUAUGAGCAAGAUGAGACCUUCCUUUUAUACCCUGCUGAGAAUCUCAGGUGGACAACGUGACUGCAUGAGUGUUGAAAGGCAGCUUGCCGGCUUAGUUAUCACCUUGCAGAGGUAGCUAUGCACUACACAGCCACACUGCCCAAAGCGCGCUCCUAAGAACACUGGUCCUACAAAGGGCUCCUUGUAAGGGAACUUUAGGAAUCACAAGUAUUUAGAAAAUACUAUACACUAUCAUUUCCUUCCUAG
rnacentral:lncRNA from 1 species